rnacentral:rRNA from 1 species
AUACGUAGGGGACAAGCGUUAUCCGGAUUUACUGGGUGUAAAGGGAGCGUAGACGGUAAAGCAAGUCUGAAGUGAAAGCUCGGGGCUCAACCCCGGAACUGCUUUGGAAACUGUUUUACUGGAGUGCAGGAGAGGUAAGCGGAAUUCCUAGUGUAGCGGUGAAAUGCGUAGAUAUUAGGAGGAACACCAGAGGCGAAGGCGGCUUACUGGACUGUAACUGACGUUGAGGCUCGAAGGCGUGGGGAGCAAACAGGAUUAGAUACCCUGGUAGUCCACGCGGUAAACGAUGAUCACUAGGUGUCGGCGGCCAUAGGCGGUCGGUGCCGCAGCAAACGCAAUAAGUGAUCCACCUGGGGAGUACGUUCGCAAGAAUGAAACUCAAAUGAAUUGACGGGG